GGAAGAAACACUCCCACGUGUGGGGGCUUGACGGUACCGUAUGAAUAAGGAUCGGCUAACUCCGUGCCAGCAGCCGCGGUAAUACGGAGGAUCCAAGCGUUAUCCGGAAUCAUUGGGUUUAAAGGGUCCGUAGGCGGGUUAAUAAGUCAGUGGUGAAAGUCUGCAGCUCAACUGUAGAAUUGCCAUUGAUACUGUUAACCUUGAGUAGUUAUGAAGUGGUUAGAAUAUGUAGUGUAGCGGUGAAAUGCAUAGAUAUUACAUAGAAUACCGAUUGCGAAGGC
rnacentral:rRNA from 1 species